rnacentral:rRNA from 1 species
UCCCCUAGUAACGGCGAGUGAAGCGGGAAGAGCUCAAAUUUGUAAUCUGGCCGGUCUCCGGUCCGAGUUGUAAUCUGUAGAGCUGUCACUGUGCCAGUCCUCUCAUGAGUCCGUUGGAAUACGGCGUCAAAGAGGGUGAGAACCCCGUUCUUGGUGAGGUCUCUGGUGCUCUGUGUGAUGGUUUCUAAGAGUCGAGUUGUUUGGGAAUGCAGCUCAAAUUGGGAGGUAGAUUCCUUCUAAAGCUAAAUAUUGGCGAGAGACCGAUAGCAAACAAGUACCGUGAGGGAAAGAUGAAAAGCACUUUGGAAAGAGAGUUAACAGUACGUGAAAUUGUUGAAAAGGAAACGAUUGAAGCCAGACGUGCCCAACCGUGUUCAGCCUUUUGGUGUACUCACGGUGGCAGGCUAACAUCGGUUUUGAGGGUCGGAUAAGGGUAGGGGGAAUGUGGCAGCUUCGGUUGUGUUAUAGCCCCUUGCUUGAUACGGCUUUUGAGACUGAGGACCGCGGCUCGCCUCAUGGCAGGGGAUUUGUCCUCUUCCGAGCCUAGGAUGUUGGCGUAAUGGCUUUAAACGACCCGUCUUGAAACACGGACCAAGGAGUCUAACAUGCUUGCGAGUGUUUGGGUGUCAAACCCCUGGCGUGAAAUGAAAGUUGAAUGUAGGUGGGACCCGCAAGGUGCACCAUCGACCGACUCGGAGUCUUUGACGAUGGGUUUGANUAAUAGCAAGUAUGUUGGGACCCGAAAGAUGGUGAACUAUGCCUGGAUAGGGUGAAGCCAGAGGA